UUGAUUUUUGGUUGGUUUGUUUUUGUGGGUGUUUUUAAGGCAACCUUAGGGCAAGCUAAAAUGCAAUGAUUUUGUUUCUAGACUAGAAAAGAAAUUUCCAAGCUUCAUAGUCGUGACCGGAUCCCUAAGGCACCGGCCAUGUUGCUUGAUGAGCUAGCUGAGAAAUGCCUAGGAUACUGUGGUGCAGCUAUAAAAUCCUUCUGUUCUGAAGCUGCGCUGUGGAUUUUUAAGCCGCUUUUUGAAAAUUCAGUAGGGAAUAUUUUAGAAGCCGUGCAGAAGAUAUUUCCGCAUGCAGAUGUUGCGCUAAAGAAGGCCCAACAGCAAGGUAUAACCGUAGCAUUCACUUCUUGAAAAUUCUGCCAAAGCACAAUCUUGUGGUUUGUGCAAAUGUUGUUUGCACAGAAACCUUCCAGAAACCUUUCAGACAUAAUGAUGGUAGAAUUUUAUGAUUUGCA